GGCGGACGGGUGAGUAAUGUCUGGGAAACUGCCUGAUGGAGGGGGAUAACUACUGGAAACGGUAGCUAAUACCGCAUAACGUCGCAAGACCAAAGUGGGGGACCUUCGGGCCUCAUGCCAUCAGAUGUGCCCAGAUGGGAUUAGCUAGUAGGUGGGGUAACGGCUCACCUAGGCGACGAUCCCUAGCUGGUCUGAGAGGAUGACCAGCCACACUGGAACUGAGACACGGUCCAGACUCCUACGGGAGGCAGCAGUGGGGAAUAUUGCACAAUGGGCGCAAGCCUGAUGCAGCCAUGCCGCGUGUGUGAAGAAGGCCUUCGGGUUGUAAAGCACUUUCAGCGGGGAGGAAGGCGGUGAGGUUAAUAACCUCAUCGAUUGACGUUACCCGCAGAAGAAGCACCGGCUAACUCCGUGCCAGCAGCCGCGGUAAUACGGAGGGUGCAAGCGUUAAUCGGAAUUACUGGGCGUAAAGCGCACGCAGGCGGUCUGUCAAGUCGGAUGUGAAAUCCCCGGGCUCAACCUGGGAACUGCAUUCGAAACUGGCAGGCUAGAGUCUUGUAGAGGGGGGUAGAAUUCCAGGUGUAGCGGUGAAAUGCGUAGAGAUCUGGAGGAAUACCGGUGGCGAAGGCGGCCCCCUGGACAAAGACUGACGCUCAGGUGCGAAAGCGUGGGGAGCAAACAGGAUUAGAUACCCUGGUAGUCCACGCUGUAAACGAUGUCGAUUUGGAGGUUGUGCCCUUGAGGCGUGGCUUCCGGAGCUAACGCGUUAAAUCGACCGCCUGGGGAGUACGGCCGCAAGGUUAAAACUCAAAUGAAUUGACGGGGGCCCGCACAAGCGGUGGAGCAUGUGGUUUAAUUCGAUGCAACGCGAAGAACCUUACCUGGUCUUGACAUCCACAGAACUUUCCAGAGAUGGAUUGGUGCCUUCGGGAACUGUGAGACAGGUGCUGCAUGGCUGUCGUCAGCUCGUGUUGUGAAAUGUUGGGUUAAGUCCCGCAACGAGCGCAACCCUUAUCCUUUGUUGCCAGCGGUCCGGCCGGGAACUCAAAGGAGACUGCCAGUGAUAAACUGGAGGAAGGUGGGGAUGACGUCAAGUCAUCAUGGCCCUUACGACCAGGGCUACACACGUGCUACAAUGGCAUAUACAAAGAGAAGCGACCUCGCGAGAGCAAGCGGACCUCAUAAAGUAUGUCGUAGUCCGGAUUGGAGUCUGCAACUCGACUCCAUGAAGUCGGAAUCGCUAGUAAUCGUAGAUCAGAAUGCUACGGUGAAUACGUUCCCGGGCCUUGUACACACCGCCCGUCACACCAUGGGAGUGGGUUGCAAAAGAAGUAGGUAGCUUAACCUUCGGGAGGGCGCUUACCACUUUGUGAUUCAUGACUGGGGUGAAGUCGGAACAAGGUAACCGUAGGGGAACCUGCGGUUG
rnacentral:rRNA from 1 species